rnacentral:rRNA from 1 species
GAUGAACGCUAGCGGCAGGCCUAACACAUGCAAGUCGAGGGGCAGCACAGAAACAGCAAUGUUUUGGUGGCGACCGGCGGACGGGUGCGUAACGCGUAUGCAACCUACCUUUAACAGGGGGAUAACGGAGAGAAAUUUCCACUAAUACCCCAUAACAUCGAUCAAGGCAUCUUGAUUGGUUGAAAACUCCGGUGGUUAAAGAUGGGCAUGCGUUGUAUUAGGUAGUUGGUGAGGUAAUGGCUCACCAAGCCUACGAUACAUAGGGGGACUGAGAGCUUAUCCCCCCACACUGGUACUGAGACACGGACCAGACUCCGACGGGAGGCAGCAGUGAGGAAUAUUGGUCAAUGGGGGCAACCCUGAACCAGCCAUGCCGCGUGCAGGAAGACGGCUCUAUGAGUUGUAAACUGCUUUUAAACAGGGAUAAAGCACAGUAUGUAUACUGUGUUGAAGGUACUGUAAGAAUAAGGAUCGGCUAACUCCGUGCCAGCCGCCGCGGUAA